UACGUAGGGACCAAGCGUUGUUCGGAUUUACUGGGCGUAAAGGGCGCGUAGGCGGCGCGGUAAGUCACUUGUGAAAUCUCUGAGCUUAACUCAGAACGGCCAAGUGAUACUGCAGUGCUAGAGUGUGGAAGGGGCAAUCGGAAUUCUUGGUGUAGCGGUGAAAUGCGUAGAUAUCAAGCGGAACACCUGAGGUGAAGACGGGUUGCUGGGCCAACACUGACGCUGAUGCGCGAAAGCCAGGGGAGCAAACGGG
rnacentral:rRNA from 1 species